UUAAAGAUCCACGGUUCGCAAUUGCUUUUCACUUCUUCAAAUAAUUUAACUCAAGCUUACCUAAAAUACUUUUAAGUGUUGUACCGGAUCAAGGUUCAAAUUUUCAAGUAUCUUUCAAUUAUCAAAAAGAAAAAAUUGAAAUCUCCAUACACAUAAGCUAAAGGGAAAGACAAAAAUCCUAGAAAACAGCUGAACCCC